ensembl:lncRNA
CCCUGACAGCCUAUUCUGCUCUUGCUCUCUCCUCCUCACCACUGUAGACAUGGUCCCUUAGUCAGAACGAGCAGCUAAAGUCUCGUGAGCAGUGACUCUCAAACACUGAGAUGAGCAAAGAGAGAAGAUGUCACCAAGUAUUUAGGUCUCAGGAAAAGAAACUAGCCAACCAAAGAGCUAAUAUGGGAGAAAGAAUAGAACAAACAAAAAAACAAGUUAAAUCUAACAGAUCUCCUAGUGAGGUUUUGAGUAGAUGUCAAAUUCAUGAAAAAGAAACAGCUAAAGAUAAAGAAAUUAAAAAUAUAAUUUUAAAAGUCUCAUUAGUUGCCCUUAAUCACAAAUAUGGCUAUAGUCAAAGAAAGAAGUAGUUAGCUGGAAAUGAAGAUGAAGAUUUUCUGCAGGAUAAGUGCAAAUGCAUAGAUUGAUAGCAUAAAACAAAAUGUUAUAAACAUAGAAAACAAAAUCAGAAGUUCAAAAAUCCACCUGAAAGUAUAUACAGAGCUCAAAACAGAGAAUGAAAGAGAGUAGACGAUAAAAUAGAAAAAAAAUCAAUCCGUAAUGGCUAUGCAGCUAUUCACACAGAAAUUUCUUUAAACUGUAUGAGCUGGGGUUUAAAAAAAAGACAGAUACUUCUACUUAUUUAGGUUAAGUCACAGAGCACCAGGAAUAAAAAUGAAAUUUUAAAAGCUGCUUUGGAGAGAUAAAAAUAUAUAAAUAAAUAUAAACAUAAGAUAAUAAAUGACAAAAUGUAGUAAAACAAAAAUAUUAAAAAAAUAAAAUAUAAUAGUGGCUGGCCCAGUGGCAUAGUGGUUAAGUUUGUGUGCUCUGUUUCGGUGGCCCAGGUUUCGCGGGUUCAGAUCCCGGGUGUGGAACUACACACUGCUCAUCAAGACAUGCUGUGGUGGUGUCCACACCUGGGAUCCGUACUGGCGAACUCCCAGCCACUGGGGCAAAACAUAUGAACUUAACUGCUGCACCACCAGGCCAACCCCCUGAGGGUAACUUAUUCUGACUGCAAAAUCUAUAUCCAACUAAUUAGUGUGGUGACAAAAUAAGGAAAUUUCUAAAUAUGUGAGGAUAUAGAAAUUUUGCACAAACUUUUUUGAAGAAAUUAAUAGAACAUAUACUGUAGAAGAAUAAAUAAUAAAUCCAAGAAGAAGGAAGAUAUGAUAGACAACAAAUAAUUGUAAAGAAAUAAUCCAAUCCAACAUGUGUUAAACUUAAAUACUAAAUUUUUUAAAAAUCUGAUUUUUAACUCUCAGAUGCUCUAAAAGGAGACUGAAGAGAUGAAGAAAAUAGAAUUAUUCUAACAAAUUUUUGUCAGGGGAGAAUAUAAAUUCUAAUUAUCAUUGGAGUUUGAGUUUGUUGAGGUUGCCAUGACGAAAUACCACAGUCCAGGUGGCUUAAAGAACAGAAGUUAAUUUUCUCACAGUCCUAGAGGCUAAACUUUCUAAAUCAUGGUGUCGGCGGCAUAAUUUCUUCUGAGGCCUCUCUUUGACUUGUAGAUGGCCAUCCUCUCCUUGUGUCUUCACAGUCUUUCCUGUGAUAGGAUCUGUGUCUUAAUCUCCUCUUCUUACAACGUCAGCAGUCAUAAUAGAUCAGGGCCCAUCUUAAUGAUCUCAUUUAGACUUAUUUCCUCUUUAAGACCCUAGCUCCAAAUGCAUUCACAUUCUGAGGUAUGAAUGCUGGUGGACUAUUGUUAACUUAAUCAGGCGGUGACUCAAUUACAGCCACUAUUCCAGAUGCAGUUCCAUUGCUUCAGCAAAGUAACAUUCUCUCAUACUCGGUAUAUAGGGACUGAUCUGACAAGUACUUUUUCUCAGUUUCUGUUGGUAAAGACUGCCAGAAGCAGUUUUCUUCAGCUGGCAAGGCCAGCAAUGUACCUUUCCUGUUCUGCUUCACGGUUAUAUCAACUCUCCAGCUCUAUGUCAUCGUUUAAUAUGCAGUGAUCUUGAUCACCUUUUCCCUACACAAGUUAUCACACUGGUCCGUUACUGUGAUGAUAUUAUGCUCACUGACCUGACCUGAUGAACUAGAAGUAGCUACUACUCUAGACAUAUUGGUGAGUCAUUUGUGCAUCAAAAGGUAGGCAAUACAUCCCACAAAAAUACAGAGACUUUCCACUUCAGAAAGGGAGAUCAUUUAGAUAAUCUGGGUAGACCUGAUUCAAUCCAUUGAAUGGUCCUAAGAACAGAGCUGAGGCUUCCUAGAAGAAGAAGAAAUUCCACCUGUGGACAGCAGCUUCAGCCCACCUCCAGAGUUCCAGCCUGCCCUAUGGACUUGCCUAGCCAGCCUGAGCAAUUGCAUAGGCUAAUUCCUUGCAGUAAAUCUCUUAAUCUCUAUCUCCCACUGUUUCUGUCCCCUGGAUGAACACUGACUGAUAUGGAUUUUGGCACCAAGAGUACUUGUAAGAAAGCAGACGGUGGUAGGCUGAAUAAUCACAUUCACCCUUCCCUAGGAUGUCCAUGUCCUAAUUUCUGUAUUGAUACAGAAGAGACUAAAAAAAAUUAUGGCACUCUUUUGUGCACCUUUAUGCAAGUAAAUUUGAAAGCCUAAGUGAAAUGCAUAAUUUCUUAGGAAAAUACAGGUUACCAAAAUUGAAAGCUUGAAAAAGACCAACUCCCACAGAUAAAGUAGGCAAUUUUAUCAAGGAUCCAGCUAACAGAAAAGCACAGGCCCAGAUGUAUUCAAGGUGAAUUCUAACCACCAGAUAUUUCAACUGCUAGAGAAAUUUAUUUGGAUCAUGGAAAAAGAGAAAACUUUCCAACCAUUUUUAUGUAGCAAGUACAAUGUUGACAUUUAAAUCUAACAAAGAUAGCACAAAAAAGAAAAUUGCAGACUAACAUUGCUUAUGAAUACUGAAAGAAAAAUCCUAAGUAAGAUAUUAACUAUUUGACUUCAAUACACAUUAAGUAAACAAGACCAAGGAGAAUUUAUAUGAUGAAUCUAAGGGUAUAGAUUAAGAGAAAAUAUUUACAACACAUAUAACAAACAAUUAAUAUCCAGAAUAUAUGAAGGAUUCAUUCAAUCAAUAAGAAAACCAAACAGAAAAAAUGAGCAAAGGUUACAAAUAAGCCAUUCAAAGGAAAAGCAAUAAAAAACAUAAAAUUCAUAUUGAUGAAGUAUAGGGAAAAAUGCAUAGCCAUGUUCUAUUGGUGGGACUAUGGAAAUCAAAGCCCUGUUGUAAUAAUUUCAGCAAAAUUUAAAUGUGCAUCUUUCCGUCUUGAGUUCCAAUUCUUAUUAUCUAAAAGAAAUUCAUUAUUUCUAUACACAAAGAUCCACGUACAUCCAAAUGUUUACUCUAGUAUUUCUGCAACUGAAAAAAACUUGAAAUAAUCCAAAGAUUGAAUAAUAGGAAAAUGGUUAAGUUCUAGACAUGCAUACUACAAAAUACACAGCAGCUAUUUAAAAUAUAAGCAUUAAAUCUGUACCAGUGAUAUGAAACUAUCUCCAAUAUAUUGUGAAAAGUGAAGAAAGCAAGUCAUAAAACAAGUAAAAUAGUAUGAUACCACCUAUGGAGUAAAAGAACAAUUAUAUAUAAAUUACUACCUCCACAUAUGCCAAUGUAUUUAAAACAAUUUUAAGGAUGCACAACAAACGAUUCACAGUAGCUACUUCAGGAAACCGCAGCACCUUGGGAUUCUGGGUUAGAAGCUGAAGAAGGACGUUAACAUUCAACUCUACUUACAUCUGCAUUUUUAGUGUUUUAGGAUGAUGAUAUAUCAUAAAGUUUAAAAAGUCCUGUAUUAUAAUAGAGAUUUCUUGAAACUAUAUCGUGCCCUGGUAGAGGUUAAGUUAGCCAAUUCAUCCUUCUCCCAGGACAGAAUCACAGCCUGUGACUUGUUUUCUAUUGUUUGAUUCAAUUUCUUUUGAAAGGUCGCCACUUGCAUCCCUUGUCACAUUUCCCAAGCGGUACGACUAACAUUUCUGUGACCGGUUAGCUCAGUUAGCUUGAGUACAAUGCUAAAAACAUUGGAAUUAAUAUUUGCAUAGAGUUUUAUUUUAGCUCUGUUCUCAGAAAAUGGACUAUAUUGUUAAGUUCUACAUCCUUCAAAUAUGGAAUCAACCCAGACCCAUCAUAUGCCAACCCAAUACCAUCAUAUGCCACUGGUCUCCAGAAAAAACUACUUGUGAAGGCCCUGGCUCAUUAUUAGAUUUAUCACUUGAUGGAUUUAAUUGACAUUAGACAGCAGGUACUGGAUUCUGGGUAAACAAAGGAGAGCAAAAAGGACAUGGCUCUUUCCCUCAGAGUUUAUAGUUUAGAGUCAAGAGAAAAUCAUGUGAAGAAUUACAGUGAAGUGUGAAACAUACAAUGACAUGAAAAACACAGUAUAAUCUAGGAGUACAAAAAGUCUAGCAAGUCAGGGAAGGCUUCCCAGGGGAAGUCACAUUUAAGGUGAGACACAAAGAAUGAGUGAGAGUUAGGUAAAGAGUUGAGGAACGCUCUAUGCAUCUCACAGAGUUACCGUUUCCUACCAAAAGUCAAUAAAGACACAAGUACUUAGAUCUUUUCAAUAUGGCCCUAGAUAUCCACCUGUCUUAGUCCGUUCAGGCUGCUAGAAAAAAAUACCACAGACUAGGUGGCUUAUAAACAACAGAAAUUUAACUCUCACAGUUCUGGAGACUGGGAAGUCCAAGAUCAAGGCACAAGCAGAUUCCAUGUCUGGGGAUGUCACCUUUCCUGGUUCAUAGACCAAAUCCUUUUUGCUGUAAUCUCACAUGGCAGAAGGGGUGAGGGAUCUCUCUGGGGUCUCUUUCAUAAUGGCACUAAUCCUAUUUAUGAGGGAUACACCCUCGUAACUUAAUCACCUCCCAAAGGUCCCUCCUUCAAAUACCAUCACACUGGGGAUUAAGUUUCAGCAUAUGAAUUUGGGGAGGACACAAAUACUCAGUCUAUAGUGCUAACCAAAUGUUAUGCUACCAGCAAAAUUGCUAUAGUAUGGAUAAUUUAGUGAUAAUUUACAAUAUAAACUUUGUAAAAAGUCUGCAAAUUGUAAGUAAAUUGUAAUUGUUGAAAUAUGAGGAACUUUCAGGAAUUGUUCUAAUAUAAAAAUUUGACAUAGCUUUUCAGAAGGAGGAAGAGAUCCUUGAACCCUGGCUUCUCACCGAAUAUUUGCACUUACUGGAGGGGAAUGUGGGCAGUGGGAGAGGAGAUUGUCAAAGACAGACUGUCAGGUGGUUUUGUUUUGUUUUUUUUUCAAAUUUCUUUCAU